AUACUCUGGUUUCUCUUCAGAUCAUAUAAAUCUUUCACUUUUUACUAAAGCUUUCCACAGAGAAGAUCAAUCCUGAGUUUUUAAUCAAUUCUUUGAGGCCUUGUGCUUACAAGGUU